GACCAGUCCAUCUAUAGACAAGGAGUUUUGGGAUAAACUCAUCAAUGAAGUGUCCAGUUAUUCUUCCCGUAUCAUACACUCUGUUUGUAUAUGCGUUUGGUGAUACUGAUUGGUGAUUAGAAUUCAAUAAUAAUUAUGACGGAAAUCAUCCUUAUCACAAACAUCAUCAAGUAGACUGUCCUUAUGCAAAUUAAAACAUAAGCUCCGCCCGAUCAGUUGAAGUAACAUUGGUAAUACGACAUAAGGAACAUAUCUGCUAUCAUCUGUGAAACAGAUAUUUCAUAACUUUCAAACCUCUCGUGAUUGCGUCCGUAAAAUUUACGAAGGAAUGUUUUCAACUUUACCAUUUGGAACUCUUGGUUUUAUAGCUUACUUAUGAGCAGCAACCCUCUAUCAAGGAAAGCAUGAUAGGAAAUACAUGCCCGGGAGUAUCGUAUCAAUUGGGAGAUAUAUACUCCGUAUGCAGGCGCUGCUGGAAUGCUGCUACAUAUAAAUGGAAGGUUCACAACUGAGAAGCUGAAAUCAUCUUUUUGUCGUAAAGUUUUGUUUUCAACCGACC
rnacentral:lncRNA from 1 species